UUUUACAAGUUGGACUGAUUAAGUUGUUUAAUUAUAUUACCAUAUUGGCAAACUUUAGAGUUUAGACCUAAUGGUUUUUGUGAAAGUUAAUUAUUGUGCAAACAUAAUAUUAGAUAAGAGCAUUGAACUCUUGUACUUUUUUAUUAUCAUUUUGUUUAGAUAUAAUAACAUUUAUUUUUCUUUGAAUAGAAUUCUUACUGGACUGUAUAUUAUAACUGUUUAUUCUGUGGCCUAUUGAAUGUUUUCGACCAACACAAUUACUAGGAUCUAAAGAAUGGAUUAUGUGUUAAUAGUCAAAUAUUUCAUUUAAUUAUCAGUUUAUUUUUCAGAUAUAUUGAUAGGUAUUGUAAUAUAGGUGGACAUUAAUAAUAUUAAAUUGGUACCUAAAUACCACAUGUGAUGAAAAAUAAAAAGAACUAAUAUUAUACUGACUUCAUGAAUUUAAGAAGUACAUUGAGGUAGUCAAGAAUAAAAUAACCAAAGAAACUAUCUUCUACAUUUGACAUGAAAUCUGGCAUACUCAAUUUUUACAGGUAUUUAUUUGUGGCAACACCUACCUAUGGGGUUAAGCAGUGAUUCAUAGUUAAAAGGGUUGCAACCCUUUUAACCAGCUGCAUUAAUUCAUUCUAGGUACUAAAAAGGGUGCAAAAAAUCAAAAUGGCUUCUGUACACUAAAAAAGGUGUUGGUAUAUCUGUGUCGGCAGGGCAUAUGUUAGCGAGUGCGCACCAUCAGAAUGAAUCGCAUAUCAUUGGGGAGUACAGACUUACUGUGUGUGGUAAAGAAAAAAAAGGGUAAAUAGCCUUUUAUUUUUUAGCCAACCACAGUGCUUCAUGCAAAGGAGUCCAAAGGGUUCCUGUUGUCCGCUGUUGCCGUACAAUACCGAUAGUAACGCUACAGUUGUGUUUGUGUGUUCGACAAACGUACAUGUUGUGAUUUUAGUUUACUAUUCUCUUGUUUUUCUUUAUAAUAAAACGUGUGUUUUUAAGUUAUUAGAAUUUUUCUUCAGUGUUUGUUAUUUAUUCAUAUAAUUUUUUUUUUUUAAUUGCCAGCAGAAAGGAUUAAUUAAUAAGAAUAUGUAUAAAAGAACAUGGGCUGCAAUGGUCUCAAGUACAAUUGUUUUUUGGAAUAAGUUUAUUAUACGAGUAUACGUUGCAGUGGACAGACAUUUUCUCGAUAUAUAUUGGGCACGUUGCCUAUACAGUUCGCCGUCCAAUACACUUAUGAACGAGAUAAGGAGAAAACGGUCUCCCGCCCGGAAUCAUUUCGAGAAUAACAAUGAAGACGGUUUUAAUUCUAGCAUUGUACAGCGAGCCGAAGCUUUUAUUAACGUCCAAAGCUCUACGGGCUUUUAAUAUAUAUAUGUACGUGUAUGUGUGGGAUGGAUGAAAAGCCGAGGCAGCGGUCCCGGAAACAGAGAUGGAAAGAUAUGACUCCCAAUAUUCUGUUUGCACUGUGAACAAAUAAAAAAGACCAAGAAAUGACUGCGAUUUAAUAUAUUAUGGUUUGUUGGAAACGUAAUACAUUAAGGAUCACGUUGAACUUUUUUGGAUACUCAUACCAUAUGAUCAAUACGUUCAAAUGGUGAUAUGUUGAACUGCCUUCAACGUCACUUUAGUACGUUGUUGAGAAUUGUUCGUUUUCCGCUUAUUACUACUAUUUGCAGUUCAGCUAUGAAAGCACACUCGUUCUUAUCACGAACUUACAUCGCCUUAAACCAUAAAUAAUCAAGUUAUGUGUAUAUACUUUUACUAGUCUUAAUGUAUAUUCUGUUAUUAUAUCGUUAUUUAAAAACAUAUUGCCGAUUAGUGUUUCAGGUAAAAAAUAACAGCUGCACGUACAGUCAAGACGAAAACGAUGUUGUCAUAUUGAUAUGAGUUUAAAAUUCAGAACUUUUGUCAUUAUGAGCACCUAUAAUACAGGAGUAUCAUGUGAUUAUAAAACAACGUCUUAACGUUUUGCGGAUAAGUCCGAUAUAAGACGAGUCUAACCCAAUUAACAUUAUAUUAUAUAAAUAUAUUGUAUUGUUAAAACAAAAAACAAUAAUAAAAUAUUAUAUAAAAGAA